rnacentral:rRNA from 1 species
UAGGAGAGCGGGAGAGGCAGACGGUACUCCGCGGGUAGGGGUAAAAUCCUUUGAUCCAUGGAAGACCACCAGUGGCGAAGGCGGUCCGCCAGAACGCGCUCGACGGUGAGGGAUGAAAGCUGGGGGAGCGAACCGGAUUAGAUACCCGGGUAGUCCCAGCCGUAAACGAUG